UGAAUACGAGACGCUACGGCGUCGAAGCAGUCUAUGUCAUACUUCCAAGAAAAGCUUGCACUGUCAUAAACAAAUAAUGCCUGUACCAUAACCGACACAGGUGGUAGGUAGAGUAUACUAAGGGGCGCGAGAUAACUCUCUCUAAGGAACUCGGCAAAAUGACUCCGUAACUUCGGGAGAAGGAGUGCCUUAUUUAUAAGGUUGCAAUAACAAGAUCCAAGCAACUGUUUAUCAAAAACACAGGUCUCCGCUAAGUCGUAAGACGAUGUAUGGGGGCUGACGCCUGCCCAGUGCCAGAAGGUUAAAGAAGUUGGUUAGCAUUAGCGAAGCUGAUAACUGAAGCCCUGGUGAACGGCGGCCGUAACGAUAACGGUCCUAAGGUAGCGAAAUUCCUUGUCGGGUAAGUUCCGACCCGCACGAAAGGCGUAAUGAUUUGGAUACUGUCUCAGAGAGGGGCUCGGUGAAAUAGACUUGUCUGUGAAGAUGCGGACUACCUGCACCAGGACAGAAGGACCCUAUGAAGCUUUACUGUAACUUGAAAUUGAAAUUGGACUUUAUUUGCGCAGUAUAGGUGGGAGGCAUUGAUAAUAUUCUUGCGGGAAUGUUGGAGCCAUCAGUGAGAUACCACUCUUGUAAUGUUAGAUUUCUAACUUUGGAUCAUUAUCUGGUCAAAGGACAGUUUCAGGCGGGCAGUUUGACUGGGGCGGUCGCCUCCUAAAUGGUAACGGAGGCGCACAAAGGUUUCCUCUGAACGGGUAGAAAUCGUAUCUAGAGUGUAAAGGCAUAAGGAAGCUUGACUGUGAGACCUACAAGUCGAGCAGGGACGAAAGUCGGUCUUAGUGAUCUGACGGUGCUGAGUGGAAAGGCCGUCACUCAACGGAUAAAAGUUACUCUAAGGAUAACAGGCUGAUCUCCCCCAAGAGUUCACAUCGACGGGGAGGUUUGGCACCUCGAUGUCGGCUCAUCGCAUCCUGGGGCGGUAGUACGUCCCAAGGGUUGGGCUGUUCGCCCAUGAAAGCGGUACGCGAGCUGGGUUCAGAACGUCGUGAGACAGUUCGGUCCAUAUCCGGUGUAGGCGUUAGAAUAUUGAGAGGAGCCUUCUUUAGUACGAGAGGACCGAGAAGGACAUACCUCUGGUGUACCAGUUAUCGUGCCAACGGUAAACGCUGGGUAGCUAUGUAUGGAGAGGAUAACCGCUGAAAGCAUCUAAGUGGGAAGCCCACCUCAAGAUAAGUAUUCUCAUC
rnacentral:rRNA from 1 species